CUUCAGACCAGCAUUGGCAGUACCUCAGAUGGCCUACAAGGCUAUUCGCCAGCCCUCACCCGUUCUCUAGUCCGGAUUCUACAGAGCUCCAGGCCAGAUUGGCCCUGCUCAGGCACACAGCAGAGAAGGAUCGUGACUUUCUGCAGGACAAGCAGUUCUUCCUGGACACUCAAGCACCUUACAAUUCAGCCUUUCACACCGAUUAACUGUGGGGCUUAGAGCCCUGUGACUUUCUGGUUUUAGUACACCAUUAAACUUGACAUUUUCUAAUGUUUGCAUUGAACUAGUUUCUUUUAGUCAGGCACUGAUCAUUCCUUUGGUGAAUUUCAGUUCUUGAGUCCUGUCCUUGGCACGUCUUUGACCCCAUUACCUAAAAUGAAAAACAUCUAGUAAGCCAAGGAAGGGCUCCAGCAGUCAACUGCUAUCUUAUAAAACCAGAAGUCACUAGGGAGAGACCUUUCAACAAGGAAAACAGCUGGUUGACUCCGGGUCCAACAGCAGUCAAACAGGCAGGGGCAGCCAGCCGCAGUCAUCCUCAUCAACCGCACGCCGAUCUGCGAAUCACAUCGUCCACGGGAUGGAUAACGACAUCGCCGAACCAGACCCAUCCCGUCAGCGCAAUGGUGUCGUGGAAGGGCUUUAUGGAGAAUUCACGGACUCGCUCAACGCAAAGGUCAGAUAUUCUGUGAGUUUGACUGAGAGUGCUCUCACUAUUCAAAAGAUCCCAUCGUCACCUGGACAGGAUGAGUUGGUUUUCCAUUUAGCUGACUGUCUUGGCUGCCGGGCUUAUAAAGUGGAGGACGAAGCGGACGUUGGGGCGUUCUUUACAGCCUAUUUCUACCCGUUCAAGAGGCGAUGGAUAAGCACAGGCAUGGCCCGGCAGAAAGUAGAGCAGUGCUUUCGGGUCGCACUGGUCCAGGACCCUCUCACUAAUCUUCAAGAGGCAGAGAGAUGGGCGCGUGCCAUCAGAGAGGCUUCUAUCUGCCAGAUACCCCGACGACAUGGAGCCAAAUGAGUAGGAGGUGCCACUCCAGGUCAGCUGGCUGGUAAUUGGAUUUCUGGGCAGGAACAGGGGAGGCCAUUUCCGCUCAGACGGCACUGGGCAUGAACCAGACAGAGGGGCCUUGUGUGGAGGGACAGUGGCACAGCAGGGUAAGGGUGUACUGGUGCCAGUCCUGUUGGCAUGAGGCUACAGGAUGGAAUUCACAGGGCAGUGCGAUGGCUGUUUCACUGCUCCCAAGGGUCCAAUUAGGCCCAUGGGACCGGUCCCAAUGCCCAGCAGAACCGGACUCACACUCACUGGUGGGAAGUUGCUUCCGCAUGUGGCACAUGCAGGGUUCAGAGGAUAAUGCUCAACUGCCAACCUUGAUCCGGUACUGAUAAUGUCUGACAGGGUUAAUUUGAGUCUGAAGUACUACUUAUAACCACAAACAAGUGUAAUCUCUGUAAGGAUGACCCCAAUUAGUCGAUUGGUCGAUUGUUUGGUCGAUAGGCUGUUGUUUUUAGUCGAGCAGUGGCAAAUAUAUAUUUUUUUAAUUAUGUGGACUAAUCCAUUUUGAGGCCACAGGGAUGGCAGACCACAGUAUCACCAGUAGUACAUUUACCGUUAAUUACCAUAAUUUCUCAUUUGGAAUGUUUGUUUGGUUAUGGUAAUUUAUGUUAAUACAUUCAA